rnacentral:lncRNA from 1 species
UUUUUAAUGGCUAUUUUAAAAUUAUUUGAUCUUUUUUGGUAUUUCUUUUUUAAAAUUAUUUUUUCAAGAAAAAUUAUUUUGGAUUGAAAUUCUUUAAUUUUUUCCACCAAAUUUGGGAUGAUAUGUUUUGAAAAAUGUUUAAAAUAAGAAUUAAAAUAAGAAGUAGUUUCUCAUAAACCGCACCGCACGACUAAGUGCAGUAAGUCAAAUGAUAUUUUAUAUUUUU